GGGCUUGCGUCUGAUUAGCUAGUUGGUAGGGUAAUGGCCUACCAAGGCGAUGAUCAGUAGCUGGUCUGAGAGGACAACCAGCCAGACGGGGACUGAGACACGGCCCUGACUCCUACGGGAGGCAGCAGCAAGGAAUUUUGCGCAAUGGGCGAAAGCCUGACGCAGCGACGCCGCGUGGGGGAUGAAGGCCUUCGGGUUGUAAACCCCUUUUCUCGAGGAAGUGACGGUACUCGAGGAAUAAGUCUUGGCUAACUACGUGCCAGCAGCCGCGGUAAUACGUAGAAGGCAAACGUUAUUCGAAUUUACUGGGCGUAAAGCGGGUGUAGACGGCCCCUUAAGUCGGGUGUGAAAUCUCCUGACUCAAUCAGGAGAGGUCGUUCGAUACUGAGGAGCUUGAGGGCAGCAGAGGAAGGUGGAAUUCCCGGUGUAGCGGUGAUAUGCGUAGAU
rnacentral:rRNA from 1 species